rnacentral:rRNA from 2 species
AGAGUUUGAUCCUGGCUCAGGACGAACGCUGGCGGCGUGCCUAAUACAUGCAAGUCGUACGCUUCUUUUUCCACCGGAGCUUGCUCCACCGGAAAAAGAAGAGUGGCGAACGGGUGAGUAACACGUGGGUAACCUGCCCAUCAGAAGGGGAUAACACUUGGAAACAGGUGCUAAUACCGUAUAACAAUCGAAACCGCAUGGUUUUGAUUUGAAAGGCGCUUUCGGGUGUCGCUGAUGGAUGGACCCGCGGUGCAUUAGCUAGUUGGUGAGGUAACGGCUCACCAAGGCUACGAUGCAUAGCCGACCUGAGAGGGUGAUCGGCCACAUUGGGACUGAGACACGGCCCAAACUCCUACGGGAGGCAGCAGUAGGGAAUCUUCGGCAAUGGACGAAAGUCUGACCGAGCAACGCCGCGUGAGUGAAGAAGGUUUUCGGAUCGUAAAACUCUGUUGUUAGAGAAGAACAAGGAUGAGAGUAACUGUUCAUCCCUUGACGGUAUCUAACCAGAAAGCCACGGCUAACUACGUGCCAGCAGCCGCGGUAAUACGUAGGUGGCAAGCGUUGUCCGGAUUUAUUGGGCGUAAAGCGAGCGCAGGCGGUUUCUUAAGUCUGAUGUGAAAGCCCCCGGCUCAACCGGGGAGGGUCAUUGGAAACUGGGAGACUUGAGUGCAGAAGAGGAGAGUGGAAUUCCAUGUGUAGCGGUGAAAUGCGUAGAUAUAUGGAGGAACACCAGUGGCGAAGGCGGCUCUCUGGUCUGUAACUGACGCUGAGGCUCGAAAGCGUGGGGAGCAAACAGGAUUAGAUACCCUGGUAGUCCACGCCGUAAACGAUGAGUGCUAAGUGUUGGAGGGUUUCCGCCCUUCAGUGCUGCAGCUAACGCAUUAAGCACUCCGCCUGGGGAGUACGACCGCAAGGUUGAAACUCAAAGGAAUUGACGGGGGCCCGCACAAGCGGUGGAGCAUGUGGUUUAAUUCGAAGCAACGCGAAGAACCUUACCAGGUCUUGACAUCCUUUGACCACUCUAGAGAUAGAGCUUCCCCUUCGGGGGCAAAGUGACAGGUGGUGCAUGGUUGUCGUCAGCUCGUGUCGUGAGAUGUUGGGUUAAGUCCCGCAACGAGCGCAACCCUUAUUGUUAGUUGCCAUCAUUUAGUUGGGCACUCUAGCAAGACUGCCGGUGACAAACCGGAGGAAGGUGGGGAUGACGUCAAAUCAUCAUGCCCCUUAUGACCUGGGCUACACACGUGCUACAAUGGGAAGUACAACGAGUCGCGAAGUCGCGAGGCUAAGCUAAUCUCUUAAAGCUUCUCUCAGUUCGGAUUGUAGGCUGCAACUCGCCUACAUGAAGCCGGAAUCGCUAGUAAUCGCGGAUCAGCACGCCGCGGUGAAUACGUUCCCGGGCCUUGUACACACCGCCCGUCACACCACGAGAGUUUGUAACACCCGAAGUCGGUGAGGUAACCUUUUGGAGCCAGCCGCCUAAGGUGGGAUAGAUGAUUGGGGUGAAGUCGUAACAAGGUAGCCGUAUCGGAAGGUGCGGCUGGAUCACCU